ACCCCUCACACGAAGAAAAAAACUAACGAUCUCUCCCUGCGCCUGGGAACUCGAUCUGGAUCACGGCGGCGGCGACUCCUCUCUCUCUCUCUCCGCGCACCGACGCAUCCCCCGGAGCCCUGCCCACCUCCUCCCUUUUCAGCGCCCACAUCGCGACCCCUGUGGCUACUCCACACUUGAAGCAUCGUGGAGGUUACGGAAACCCGAUGGCGUUGGCUUGCCGGAGAUGAAGAAGACAGCCAGGUGAUGCGGUACUCGGGAGGUGGAAUUGGCAACGGAGGUGGCUCCAUAUGGAUGUCGCGGACCUCCCACUGGAUGGAAUCGAAGUGGGACGAUGUGCUCUUUCCUUUUUUUUUGUAUUUUUGCCGAGUCGCUGGAUCUGAUUAGAGCUUUUAUCAGGGUGUUUCAAUUGGUGGGGGAAUCGGAAGCAUCUCAGACAUUUUAAAUGCAUGACUGCUGAUUGCUGAAAAUGAAAUAUGCAGUUAUGGAUUCAUUCUAUAGUUGGAAUAUGAGACUCCAUAUGUGUGUGUAUGUUUAUUCUUGCUUGAAUCUGGUGCUGAAGGUGUGAACAGGUGAGUCCUGCUUACAAGUUCGUCUAAAGAAUUUUCAUGUUUUAAAGCCAUUGAGACAUUUAUCACUCCACCUUCUAUAUCUAUUUAUCGUCAAUUAGUGCAAUAGUGGUCGCUGGUGUAUUACCCAUUCCACACUAGCUUGUUUCCUUUUCGUUUUGGGGGUUAUUUGCAGUGGAAACUAUUGUUUGUGCUUGCCACUCAUUAAAUCGUCUUUGAAAAUCUAACGAGCGGAAACAGAAUAGCUCAUUUUAUACCAUUGGUUGCAGUUUUACAUCCACAUUGCCAAUUUGUAUUUUUUUUAAGCACAAGCAAUAGUUAUGUGCAUCAAUCGCAUAUUCUUCUGAUAAUACUAUCUGUAGCACGUGUUAACACAAUCUCAAUUAUCUGCAUGGUAUAUAUAUCUCUAAUCAUUGUCUUUUCCAGAAUGAAGAGAAGGUAUGAGAAAGAUAAUACUAAUAUUCCCUAUACAUUUGACAUUUAACUUUUACCAGAUUCUUGGAUUCCUCAAAAUCAUGUCUAUUAGUGUUUCUUCUAUAUAUAUAUAUGCCUGAUCUUUCCUUUUGAAAUUGUCAUUAUGUACAUGACUUUUGCUACUGCUGGCCUUGAAUUGGCACUGAUUUGGGCCACCUUGUUGAAUGAUUUGUGCACGGAUGUGUUUCGUUGGUCUUUUGCGGCAUGUGGGGAGCGUAAACUGGAAGAACGUGUGCCGCAGGCAUCGCUGUUGCGCUGGACGACGUUGUGCGAGGGCAUGGCCAUGGACGAUGUGCUGUUGGAGAACGACGCAGGACUAAGGUAGUCGAUGUGAACGACCACUGGAAUUCCAAUUGCUUAUGGAUUCGUAUGAUGCAGCCUACAUGUUCCCAUCACCCAGUAAAAUAUAGACAUCAAUUAUUGUAUCUGGGUUUAUAUUAUGCAUCCCCGCUGCCAGUUUCAAUUGUUAAGUAGGAACGAAGAUUACAUUUAUAAAUGAGAUAUGUAUGUAAUUGUGUGCUGCAUUCUUGUUGCUUCCAGUAGAUGUACUAUCUUUUCAGCGUUGACUUUUAAAGCGUUUUUGCUGACAAGAAGCUUAUCAGUCAUAAUGUUCAGCACCUACAUUACCUGAUGGUCAUGUAGUGCUAGGGAAAUAGAUAUUAAUGCGGGAAAUAGAUAUACAAUAUGUUAUAAAGGAUAAGACAAAUAAUUAUUGGGUGUGAAAGAUCCGGAUGGAAGCAUUUUUUUUGCUAGCAUAUGAAUUAUUGAAUACAAUCUCAUAUGCAACCCCUCAAAAUUAGAUUUAAUUCAUGCUCGUACACCAUCACUUAAGUAGGAAAAGAGAAGUAUUUCUAAGGUUACUCUAUAUCUUAUUUUUCUUUCACAGCAUAUAUAUUAUUAGUUAUAUGUUUGCCUGGGUAAGAAAGAAACAAUCAAUCCCUCAAAAUAAAAGGAAACUAAUGAUCAAGACCUUAGCUGGCUGACGGUAACUCCAUUCAUUCUCUUCCAAUUAUUAUUAUUUUAGUUAUUUUUCUAUUCUCAUGGGUAGGUUUCUUCUGUGUUGUUUUGCUUUAGUUUCGUAGUUGUCACUCCCAUGUAUUUCUUCGACGAGGAGGCGUGGACACGAGGCCUAACUAUCCGGCCGGGACUUUGAGUUGUCUGCCAUGGUGGAGCUCGGGAUGUUGGCAGAUCUGACCGGACUGGUCAGCACUCUGCCCACACCUGCCGAGGUCGCCCUGCUCUGUGCCAUGCUCGGAAAUGGCGAAUUUACGUAUCCUUAUCAGCCUUAUACUAAUACAUGUAUCUGUAUCGGUGCAUUCUUGGAUUUCAUGUAUAAGCCUCUCAAGAGAAAUUUAAAUAAGUGCCAUUUGGAGUAACAGUCUACAAUGCCACAACACUUUGUUGGACCUAUUUUUGGCGUUUCUUCUGCCAGCUGAUGAGUCUUUUAGGGAUGCAAAUUGUCUGCCUUCGGAAAAUCAGAAGAAUGAAAGAAUGGGAUUUAUAGCAUAUAUGCUCUAUGUGCAGCUGAUGAAGCUUUGAGAGAUCAAAAUUGGUUGCCUUCGGAAAAUAGGAAGGAAAGAACGGGUGUUUCAAUUGGUGGGGGAAUCGGAAGCAUCUCAGACAUUUUAAAUGCAUGACUGCUGAUUGCUGAAAAUGAAAUAUGCAGUUAUGGAUCCAUUCUAUAGUUGGAAUAUGAGACUCCAUAUGUGUGUGUAUGUUUAUUCUUGCUUGAAUCUGGUGCUGAAGGUGUGAACAGGCAUCGCUGCUGCGCUGGACGACGUUGUGCGAGGUCAUGGCCAUGGACGAUGUGCUGUUGGAGAACGACGCGGGACUAAGGUAGUCGACGUGAACGACCACUAGGUAUGUAAUGGUUUAGUCCUCCUGAAUUUGCACUCUGUUUUUUAGUCCUCUGUAGUGUUGUUCAAUUUGGGCAGGGCUUACAUUCUCUCAUAGGAUCAGACCAAACAAGGUCUCAUAAGCUUUGCUGUUGUUUUGUUCGAAACAUAAAAACAGCCAUUAUCGAGGAAAGAGUCGUUCUCACAUAGCGAUUUGUUUGCCUCCUUGCAGAAUUCCAAUUGCUUAUGGAUUCGUAUGAUGCAGCCUACAUGUUCCCAUCAUCCAGUAAAAUAUAGACAUCAAUUAUUGCAUCUGGGUUUAUAUUAUGCAUCCCCGCUGCCAGUUUCAUUGUUAAGUAGGAACGAAGAUUACAUUUAUAAAUGAUAUAUGUCUGUAAUUGUGUGCUGCAUUCUUGUUGCUUCCAGUAGAUGUAUUAUCUUUUCAGCGUUGACUUUUAAAGCGUUUUUGCUGACAAGAAGCUUAUCAGUCGUAAUGUUCAGCACCUACAUUACAUGAUGGUCAUGUAGUGCUAGGGAAAUAGAUAUUAAUGUGGGAAAUAGAUAUACAAUAUGUUAUAAAGGAUAAGAAAAAUAAUUAUUGGGUGUGAAAGAUCAGGAUGGAAGCAUUUUUUUUGCUAUCAUAUAAAUUAUUGAAUACAACCUCGUAUGCAACUCCUCAAAAUUAGAUUUAAUUCAUGCUCGUACACCAUCACUUAAGUAGGAAAAGAGAAGUAUUUCUAAGGCUACUCUAUAUCUUAUUUUUCUUUCACAACAUAUAUAUUAUUAGUUAUAUGUUUUCCUGGGUAGGAAAGUCACAAUCAAUCCCUCAAAAUGAAAGGAAACUAAUGAUCAAGACCUUAGCUGGCUGACGGUAACUCCAUUCAUUCUCUUCCAAUUAUUAUUAUUUUAGUUAUUUUUCUAUUCUCAUGGGUAGGUUUCUUCUGUGUUGUUUUGCUUUAGUUUCGUAGUUGUCACUCCCAUGUAUUUCUUCGACGAGGAGGCGUGGACACGAGGCCUAACUAUCCGGCCGGGACUUUGAGUUGCCUGCCAUGGUGGAGCUCGGGAUGUUGGCAGAUCUGACCGGACUGUGCCAUUUGGAGUAACAGUCUACAAUGCCACAACACUUUGUUGGACCUAUUUUUUGGCGUUUCUUCUGCCAGCUGAUGAGUCUUUUAGGGAUGCAAAUUGUCUGCCUUCGGAAAAUCAGAAGAAUUAAAGAAUGGGAUUUAUAGCAUAUAUGCUCUAUGUGCAGCUGAUGAAGCUUUGAGAGAUCAAAAUUGGUUGCCUUCGGAAAAUAAGAAGGAAAGAACGGGUGUUUCAAUUGGUGGGGGAAUCGGAAGCAUCUGAGACAUUUUAAAUGCAUGACUGCUGAUUGCUGAAAAUGAAAUAUGCAGUUAUGGAUUCAUUCUAUAGUUGGAAUAUGAGACUCCAUAUGUGUGUGUAUGUUUAUUCUUGCUUGAAUCUGGUGCUGAUGGUGUGAACAGGUGAGUCCUGCUUACAAGUUCGUCUAAAGAAUUUUCAUGUUUUAAAGCCAUUGAGACAUUUAUCACUCCACCUUCUAUAUCUAUCUAUCGUCAAUUAGUGCAAUAGUGGUCGCUGGUGUAUUACCCAUUCCACACUAGCUUGUUUCCUUUUCGUUUUGGGGGUUAUUUGCAGUGGAAACUAUUGUUUGUGAUUGCCACUCAUUAAAUCAUCUUUGAAAAUCUAACGAGCGGAAGCAGAAUAGCUCAUUUUAUACCAUUGGUUGCAGUUUUACAUCCACAUUGCCAAUUUGUAUUUUUUUAAGCACAAGCAAUAGUUAUGUGCAUCAAUCGCAUAUUCUUCUGAUAAUACUAUCUGUAGCACGUGUUAACACAAUCUCAAUUAUCUGCAUGGUAUAUAUAUCUCUAAUCACUGUCUUUUCCAGAAUGAAGAGAAGGUAUGAGAAAGAUAAUACUAAUAUUCCCUAUACAUUUGACAUUUAACUUUUACCAGAUUCUUGGAUUCCUCAAAAUCAUGUCUAUUAGUGUUUCUUUUAUAUAUAUAUGCCUGAUCUUUCCUUUUGAAAUUGUCAUUAUGUACAUGAUUUUUGCUACUGCUGGCCUUGAAUUGGCACUGAUUUGGGCCACCUUGUUGAAUGAUUUGUGCACGGAUGUGUUUCGUUGGUCUUUUGCGGCAUGUGGGGAGCGUAAACUGGAAGAACGUGUGCCGCGGGCAUCGCUGUUGCGCUGGACGACCUUGUGUGAGGGCAUGGCCAUGGACGAUGUGCUGUUGGAGAACGACGCAGGACUAAGGUAGUCGAUGUGAACGGCCACCGGUGCCAUUUGGAGUAACAAUCUACAAUGCCACAACACUUUGUUGGACCUAUUUUUGGCGUUUCUUCUGCCAGCUGAUGAGUCUUUUAGGGAUGCAAAUUGUCUGCCUUCGGAAAAUCAGAAGAAUGAAAGAAUGGGAUUUAUAGCAUAUAUGCUCUAUGUGCAGCUGAUGAAGCUUUGAGAGAUCAAAAUUGGUUGCCUUCGGAAAAUAAGAAGAAGGAAAGAACGGGUGUUUCAAU